UACGUAGGGGGCAAGCGUUGUCCGGAUUUAUUGGGCGUAAAGAGCGUGUAGGCGGCCAGGGAGGUCCGUUGUGAAAACUCGAGGCUCAACCUCGAGACGCCGAUGGAAACCCCCUGGCUAGAGUCCGGAAGAGGAGAAUGGAAUUCCUGGUGUAGCGGUGAAAUGCGCAGAUAUCAGGAGGAACACCGGUGGCGAAGGCGGGUCUCUGGGCAGUAACUGACGCUGAGGAGCGAAAGCGUGGGGAGCGAACAGG
rnacentral:rRNA from 1 species